UGGUUUGUGAUUAAAGUAAGGGCGAAAUAUAUUUAAGCGGUGAUGGGUAACAGAAAUACCUAGGUAUUAAAAGGGGAUUAAUUUCUCCCGAUCCAAAACCUAAUCUCCUCUUCGAUCUCGCACGCGACGUUCCUGUGCCCGGGCGGAAAUGAAGCCGAGCCUAGGGCUUUGUCUCCGGCAGCCGGCAAGGACCUUUCCUGUGAGAUCUUCACGUUCUCAAGACCCCUUCAGCGAGGAGAAGGUGUAGACGCAAGAGAUCGCCGAGAUUUGGAGCUCACCUGAACCCUAGAAGCACUAGAAGGUUCCUCCUUCGGCUGUGAGUCAAGGAAACGAAGAUAAAGGAAAGGAAAAGAUUUAGCAAGGAAGGCGACAAGGUGGUGCGGAGGGUGUGUGAUGCGUGGACUGUGGGAGAGAUCAGGGGAAUUGAGUCACACUUUAUGAUUUAUGUCAAUAAAGAUUGAUAAAGAGUUGUUUCUAUUUUUCUGAUGUUGCUAUUGAGUCUAUUCCGCAUUGUUAGUUUGGUUAUUUUCCACUGUUCGAGUUUUAUUCAUUUGUUAUUUCUAGAA